GCUGGGACAGAGAGAGAAUCCAGUUUGGAGUCACCCACUGAGAUGCAGAAAAAAGGGGACAUCACAAAGGGGAGUAGGAAAGGAGAAACAAACCAAACAGCUGCCCCCAAAUCCUUUCCCAGAGGAGAGAAAGAAGGGAACCAAUUCCGCCACCUCAUUCCCAUCUGAAUAUGGAGGACAGUGUUUGUUUCUACAUAGGCACACAGGACUGGUGAAAACUCAGGAGUGCCAUUUGUCAUGAGAAUGUAAAAAGGUUUCUGAGCCACUUUUGCCAAUUGCUUACUUCUGUGGGCAUCUGUCAGUAUCUCUGUUUCCUCCUCUCCCUGGAGAUUGGAGACCCACAGCUUCUCCCUUCACUCCAGCCAGGAGAUCAUGUCAGGUCUGGAAAUUGGAACUCCUACUUGGGGUCAAGCAAACAAAUGAGCAUCAAGUUAGGGCCCAACAUUCAGUUAUCUCAAUAAGUGGCCUGAGUUUCAAAAAUGCUGAGCCUGCAACAAUGGGGUUUGGUUCUGAGUGUCCAGAGCUAUCGAUAACCAGGCCACUUAUUCCACUGCCUCAAUAUGGAUUUAGGAAUGUACUUUUAGGGUCCUGUAAUUAAAGUUCCAGGGUUUGGUCACUUGAUUAUAGAACAGACUCUGCCCCUGUCACCAGGAAUAAAUCUGUGAGACAUUUAUGAACCUGGCCACAAACACUGAUUUAAUAAAGUUAAUGAGACCACUCAGAUGGCUAAAGAAAGGAACACCCAUGGGUG